rnacentral:rRNA from 1 species
GACGAACGCUGGCGGCGUGCUUAACACAUGCAAGUCGAACGGUGAAGGAAGAGCUUGCUCUCCCGGAUCAGUGGCGAACGGGUGAGUAACACGUGGGCAACCUGCCCUGACUCUGGGAUAACUCCUCGAAAGAGGUGCUAAUACCGGAUACGACCACUUCGGACAUCCGAUGGUGGUGGAAAGUUUUUCGGUCAGGGAUGGGCCCGCGGCCUAUCAGCUAGUUGGUGGGGUAAUGGCCUACCAAGGCGACGACGGGUAGCCGGCCUGAGAGGGCGACCGGCCACACUGGGACUGAGACACGGCCCAGACUCCUACGGGAGGCAGCAGUGGGGAAUAUUGCGCAAUGGGCGAAAGCCUGACGCAGCGACGCCGCGUGAGGGAUGAAGGCCUUCGGGUUGUAACCUCUUUCUAGCAGGACGAAGCGAAAGUGACGGUACCGUGCAGAAGAAGCACCGGCUAACUACGUGCCAGCAGCCGCGGUAA